rnacentral:rRNA from 1 species
CCCGAUGAACCUGAAUAUCCGUUAUGGAAAAUUCAUCACUAAUACUAUGAUAUUUAUCAUAUUAUAGAAAUAGUGUGCAAUUUUUCCAUAUAAGGACAUUGUAAUCUGUUAAUGUAAUAAAUAUUUAUCAUAAGAUCUUUUACUUAAGUUUAUUCAAAUUAGUUAUUUUCGAAUUUCUAACAUAGAAUAAAUGUAUUGGAUUUGAUAAAUCAUUGACAGAUUUAAUUAUAUAUAGUGCUUAAAUUUUUCGAAAUUUUACAAUGGUGAGUAAAUCUAUUGAUUUAUUUAUAUUGUAUGCGCUUAUAUGAUUAACAAUGCGAUAGAUUCAGGAUACCUUCGGGACCCGUCUUGAAACACGGACCAAGGAGUCUAACAUAUGUGCAAGUCAUUGGGUAUUUUUAAUAAAACCCAAUGGCAUAAUUAACUUAACUGUUUUAAAUGGGAUUAGUUUAUAUUUUAUUAUGAAAUAUAAAUUCAAUCCCGGGGCGUUCUAUACAGUUAUGCAUAAUGAUAUUUAUAUUAUUUAUGCCUCUAACUAGAGC